UACGUAGGGUGCAAGCGUUUAAUCGGAAUUACUGGGCGUAAAGCGUGCGCAGGCGGUGAUGUAAGACAGGUGUGAAAUCCCCGGGCUUAACCUGGGAACUGCAUUUGUGACUGCAUCGCUGGAGUGCGGCAGAGGGGGAUGGAAUUCCGCGUGUAGCAGUGAAAUGCGUAGAUAUGCGGAGGAACACCGAUGGCGAAGGCAAUCCCCUGGGCCUGCACUGACGCUCAUGCACGAAAGCGU
rnacentral:rRNA from 1 species